rnacentral:misc_RNA from 1 species
GAUGAAGAACGUAGCGAAAUGCGAUACUUGGUGUGAAUUGCAGAAUCCCGUGAAUCAUCGAGUCUUUGAACGCAAGUUGCGCCCGAAGCCACUAGGCCGAGGGCACGCCUGCCUGGGCGUCACACGCCGUUGCCCCCCCAUCUACUCCUUCGGGAUUGCGGGGGGGCGGAUGAUGGCCUCCCGUGCGCCUAGCCGCGCGGUUGGCAUAAAUACCAAGUCCUCGGCGACGCACGCCACGACAAUCGGUGGUUGCGAAACCUCGGUUGCCCGUCGUGUGCGUUCGUCGCGCAUCGAGGGCUCGAAAAAAUGCUCGGCUCCGGCUGGGCUUUCAACGCGACCCCAGGUCAGGCGGGGUUACCCGCUGAAUUUAAGCAUAUCAAUAAGCGGAGGA